rnacentral:rRNA from 1 species
CUGGUGGCGACCGGCGCACGGGUGCGUAACGCGUAUACAACCUACCUUUUGGAGGGGAAUAGCCCAGAGAAAUUUGGAUUAAUACCCCAUAGUAUAUAGGAAUCUCCUGAUUUUUAUAUUAAACAUUUAUGGCCAUUAGAUGGGUAUGCGUCCUAUUAGCUAGUUGGUGUGGUAACGGCACACCAAGGCUACGAUAGGUAGGGGUCCUGAGAGGGAGAUCCCCCACACUGGUACUGAGACACGGACCAGACUCCUACGGGAGGCAGCAGUGAGGAAUAUUGGACAAUGGGCGAGAGCCUGAUCCAGCCAUGCCGCGUGCAGGAAGACUGCCCUAUGGGUUGUAAACUGCUUUUACAGAGGAAGAACCACCCCCACGUGUGGGGGUUUGACGGUACUCUGCGAAUAAGGAUCGGCUAACUCCGUGCCAGCAGCCGCGGUAAUACGGAGGAUCCAAGCGUUAUCCGGAAUCAUUGGGUUUAAAGGGUCCGUAGGCGGAUAAAUAAGUCAGUGGUGAAAGUCUGCAGCUCAACUGUAGAAUUGCCAUUGAUACUGUUUAUCUUGAGUUAUUAUGAAGUGGUUAGAAUGAGUAGUGUAGCGGU